rnacentral:rRNA from 1 species
UGGGGAAUAUUGCACAAUGGGGGAAACCCUGAUGCAGCGACGCCGCGUGAACGAAGAAGGUAUUCGUAUCGUAAAGUUCUGUCCUAUGGGAAGAUAAUGACAGUACCAUAGAAGAAAGCUCCGGCUAAAUACGUGCCAGCAGCCGCGGUAAUACGUAUGGAGCGAGCGUUGUCCGGAAUUAUUUGGCGUAAAGGGUACGCAGGCGGUUUAAUAAGUCGAAUGUUAAAGAUCGGGGCUCAACCCCGCAAAGCAUUGGAAACUGAUAAACUUGAGUAGUGUAGAGGAAAGUGGAAUUCCUAGUGUAGUGGUGAAAUACGUAGAUAUUAGGAGGAAUACCAGUAGCGAAGGCGACUUUCUGGACACAAACUGACGCUGAGGUACGAAAGCGUGGGGAGCAAACAGG